rnacentral:rRNA from 1 species
UACCAGCACCCCGAGUGGUCGGACGUUUAUUGGGCCUAAAGCAUCCGUAGCCGGUUCUGCAAGUCCCCGUUAAUCCAGCUGCUCAACAGAUGGGCCGCGGAGGAUACUACAGAGCUAGGAGGCAGGAGAGGCAAGCGGUACUCAGUGGGUAGGGGUAAAAUCCGUUGAUCCGAUUGAAGACCACCAGUGGCGAAGGCGGCUUGCCAGAAUG